rnacentral:rRNA from 1 species
UACGAAGGGGGCUAGCGUUGCUCGGAAUCACUGGGCGUAAAGCGCACGUAGGCGGACUCUUAAGUCGGUGGUGAAAUCCUGGAGCUCAACUCCAGAACUGCCUUUGAUACUGAAGAUCUUGAGUCCGGGAGAGGUGAGUGGAACUGCGAGUGUAGAGGUGAAAUUCGUAGAUAUUCGCAAGAACACCAGUGGCGAAGGCGGCUCACUGGCCCGGUACUGACGCUCAUGUGCGAAAGCGUGGGGAGCAAACAGG